rnacentral:rRNA from 1 species
UACAGAGGGCGCGAGCGUUGUCCGGAAUCACUGGGCGUAAAGGGCGCGUAGGUGGCGGCAUAAGGCCGUGGUGAAAGUCUGGGGCUCAACCCCAGAUCGGCCAUGGCGACUGUGUCGCUAGGGUACUGUAGAGGCAGGUGGAAUUCCGGGUGUAGCGGUGGAAUGCGUAGAGAUGCGGAGGAACACCGAUGGCGAAGGCAGCCCCCUGGGCCAACACUGACGCUCAGGCACGAAAGCGUGGGGAGCAAACAGG